rnacentral:rRNA from 1 species
AUGCUUCUGCUCUAUGUUGAUGAUAUUGUCAUCACUGCCUCCCGCACGGAUCUUCUUCGCGACAUCAUUGGUCGCCUCGGUUCUGAGUUUCGACUGAAGGAUCUCGGCGCAUUGCACUUCUUCCUCGGCAUUAAUGUGCGACGUGAUGACACUGGGUUCUUUCUGCAUCAGGGACAGUAUGCUCUUGAUCUUCUGGACCGUGCCGGCAUGACUGACUGCAAACCAGCCGCCACACCUGCUGAGGCCAAGCCGAAGCUCUCAGCCUCCGCCGGCCAGCCUGCCACCGACGCUGCUCUUUAUCGCAGUAUUGUGGGCGCCCUUCAGUACCUCACGCUCACCAGACCAGACAUUCAGUUCGCAGUCCAGCAAGUUUGCUUGCAUAUGCACUCGCCUCGUGAUGUCCACUGGUCUUUGGUCAAGCGCAUUCUUCGGUAUAUUCGUGGCACUCCGACCUACGGUCUUCGUCUCCCUGCAUCCGCCUCGACUGAGCUCCUCGCUUAUACUGACGCGGAUUGGGCUGGCUGUCCAGACACUCGUCGCUCCACGUCUGGAUAUUGUGUCUUCUUCGGUGACUCCUUGGUCUCUUGGUCCUCUAAACGGCAGCCCACUGUUUCCCGUUCGAGUGCUGAGGCCGAGUACCGUGCUGUCGCCAAUGUUGUUGCGGAGACUUGUUGGCUUCGUCAUCUUCUUGGUGAGCUUCGGAUUUCUCUUCCGAAGGCUACUGUGGUCUUCUGUGAUAACGUAUCGGCUACCUAUCUCGCGGCUAAUCCGGUGCAGCACAAGCGCACUAAACACAUCGAGCUCGAUGUUCACUUUGUCCGCGAGAAGGUUCAGUUGGGUCAGCUCCGUGUACUUCAUGUACCGACCACCCAACAG